GGCGCAGCUAACGCUUUAAGCAUCCCGCCUGGGGAGUACGGUCGCAAGAUUAAAACUCAAAGGAAUUGACAGGGGCCCGCACAAGCGGUGGAGCAUGUGGUUCAAUUCGACGCAACGCGCAGAACCUUACCAGCCCUUGACAUCCCGGUCGCGGGAACGAGAGAUCGAUCCCUUCAGUUCGGCUGGACCGGAGACAGGUGCUGCAUGGCUGUCGUCAGCUCGUGUCGUGAGAUGUUGGGUUAAGUCCCGCAACGAGCGCAACCCUCGCCCUUAGUUGCCAUCAUUUAGUUGGGCACUCUAAGGGGACUGCCGGUGAUAAGCCGCGAGGAAGGUGGGGAUGACGUCAAGUCCUCAUGGCCCUUACGGGCUGGGCUACACACGUGCUACAAUGGCGGUGACAAUGGGAUGCAAUGGAGCGAUCCUGCGCAAAUCUCAAAAAGCCGUCUCAGUUCGGAUUGGGCUCUGCAACUCGAGCCCAUGAAGUUGGAAUCGCUAGUAAUCGCAGAUCAGCACGCUGCGGUGAAUACGUUCCCGGGCCUUGUACUCACCGCCCGUC
rnacentral:rRNA from 1 species